UACGUAGGGAGCAAGCGUUGUCCGGAAUCAUUGGGCGUAAAGCGCGCGUAGGUGGCCCUGUAAGUCCGCUGUGAAAGUCAAAGGCUCAACCUUUGAAAGCCGGUGGAUACUGCAGGGCUAGAGUACGGAAGAGGCGAGUGGAAUUCCUGGUGUAGCGGUGGAAUGCGCAGAUAUCAGGAGGAACACCAAUAGCGAAGGCAGCUCGCUGGGACGUUACUGACACUGAGGCGCGAAAGCGUGGGGAGCGAACAGG
rnacentral:rRNA from 1 species